rnacentral:piRNA from 1 species
UGGGAGGCCUUGGAUAACAGAAGUCAUGG